GAGCGCCCAAUGAUUAACCAUCACUGUACAUGUAGUGUAACAAAAUUGAUGUGUGCAUGAUACGAAAUAGGACGUGUACAUAUUUCCCCGCUUUGUUUUGAACUUGAACGAGAAAUCCUGGGGACAAAUUACAUUCCAUACGGUAAAAGAACGACCGAAAAGGCUACACAGGGGGGAAAAAGCCUCGGGAAAAUAAUACACACAAUCCAAUUGAUAAUAAGAAAUAAAAUUUCAAUACCUCA